UGAUGCUAAAUUAUUGAUGCCAAAAGGUGGU
rnacentral:piRNA from 1 species